rnacentral:rRNA from 1 species
UACGAAGGGGGCUAGCGUUGCUCGGAAUCACUGGGCGUAAAGCGCACGUAGGCGGGUCCUUAAGUCAGGGGUGAAAUCCCGGAGCUCAACUCCGGAACUGCCUUUGGUACUGGGGAUCUCGAGUCCGGAAGAGGUGAGUGGAACUCCGAGUGUAGAGGUGAAAUUCGUAGAUAUUCGGAAGAACACCAGUGGCGAAGGCGGCUCACUGGUCCGGUACUGACGCUGAGGUGCGAAAGCGUGGGGAGCAAACAGG